rnacentral:rRNA from 1 species
UACGGGGGGGGCAAGCGUUGUUCGGAAUUACUGGGCGUAAAGGGCGCGUAGGCGGUUCGCUAAGUUGAAUGUGAAAACUCUGGGCUUAACCCAGAGCCUGCAUCCAAAACUGGCGAACUGGAGUACUGGAGGGGAAAGCGGAAUUCCUGGUGUAGCGGUGAAAUGCGUAGAUAUCAGGAGGAACACCGGUGGCGAAGGCGGCAUCCUGGACCGGUAUUGACGCUGAGGCGCGAAAGCUAGGGGAGCAAACGGG